CCGAGUUUACAACUCCCAAACCCCUGUGAACAUACCUAUCGUUGCUUCGGCGGGAUCGUCCCAGUUUGUCACAAAUCUGGACCCAGGCGCCCGCCGGAGGACCCAAACUCUUGUUUUAUUAAGUAUCUUCUGAGUAAACAAGCAAAUAAAUUA
rnacentral:misc_RNA from 1 species